rnacentral:rRNA from 1 species
GACGAACGCUGGCGGCGUGCUUAACACAUGCAAGUCGAACGAAGAGCGAUGGAAGCUUGCUUCUAUCAAUCUUAGUGGCGAACGGGUGAGUAACGCGUAAUCAACCUGCCCUUCAGAGGGGGACAACAGUUGGAAACGACUGCUAAUACCGCAUACGAUCUAAUCUCGGCAUCGAGGAUAGAUGAAAGGUGGCCUCUACAUGUAAGCUAUCACUGAAGGAGGGGAUUGCGUCUGAUUAGCUAGUUGGAGGGGUAACGGCCCACCAAGGCGAUGAUCAGUAGCCGGUCUGAGAGGAUGAACGGCCACAUGGGACUGAGACACGGCCCAGACUCCUACGGGAGGCAGCAGUGGGGAAUCUUCCGCAAUGGACGAAAGUCUGACGGAGCAACGCCGCGUGAGUGAUGACGGCCUUCGGGUUGUAAAGCUCUGUUAAUCGGGACGAAAGGCCUUCUUGCGAAUAGUGAGAAGGAUUGACGGUACCGGAAUAGAAAGCCACGGCUAACUACGUG